ACGCACGCUGGCGGCGUGCUUAACACAUGCAAGUCGAACGGAAAGGCCCUGCUUUUGUGGGGUGCUCGAGUGGCGAACGGGUGAGUAACACGUGAGUAACCUGCCCUUGACUUUGGGAUAACUUCAGGAAACUGGGGCUAAUGCCGGAUAGGAGCUCCUGCUGCAUGGUGGGGGUUGGAAAGUUUCGGCGGGUGGGGAUGGACUCGCGGCUUAUCAGCUUGUUGGUGGGGUAGUGGCUUACCAAGGCUUUGACGGGUAGCCGGCCUGAGAGGGUGACCGGCCACAUUGGGACUGAGAUACGGCCCAGACUCCUACGGGAGGCAGCAGUGGGGAAUAUUGCACAAUGGGCGGAAGCCUGAUGCAGCAACGCCGCGUGCGGGAUGACGGCCUUCGGGUUGUAAACCGCUUUCGCCUGUGACGAAGCGUGAGUGACGGUAAUGGGUAAAGAAGCACCGGCUAACUACGUG
rnacentral:rRNA from 1 species